rnacentral:rRNA from 1 species
AUGCAUCCGCUCGUGGGGGCACUGCUGGUGGGGGCGGGGAGCGAUGUUGGUGGCCGUGCUGGGGCCUGGCGGCGUGGGUGGGCGCGCUGGAACUGGCCGUGUCGAUGGCGUCGUUCCCGCCGGAGACCACGUUCGUGUGGGCGCUGGCCAGCGGCGGGUGCGAGGCCGGGUCGGUGCGCGUGCCUCUCGACGGUCUGCUCGACCCGGCCGGGUCGGUGGUUGUACGGCUUCGAUGUGCUGCGCACGGCGAAGGGCUUCCGUCGCUCGACGAGGUCAUCCAGCGAUAAGUCGGAUGAGCUCGUUGGCCACAUUGGGCAGCUGCCGCCCUCUGCUGAGAUUGUUCACACCAUGGAUGAGAUCUCCAACACUGUUUGCUCGGUCAUUGAUUCGGCGGAGCUGUGCAGGGACACGCACUCAGAUAGGGAGUUUACGGAGGAAGCAGAUAAGGCAUCAAUGACGAAUUAUGAGCAUCUUCAAUACCUGAACACAUAUACUACUUUGUACAACGCGGUACUAAAAGCUGAGAGUGAAGGUGCCCUGCUCUCAGAGGAAUAUGGGAAGGCAGCAAAUAACUUGCGUAUCGACUUUGAGAAAGGAGGGAUUCAUCUUCGUAACAGUUGCCAUAGAGAUAGUUAUAUUCUGUUGCAAUUGUUAGCUUUGAAUUUGAAUUAG